rnacentral:rRNA from 1 species
UACGUAGGGGGCAAGCGUUGUCCGGAUUUAUUGGGCGUAAAGAGCGUGUAGGCGGCUUUACAGGUCCGUUGUCGAAAACUCGAGGCUCAACCUCGAGACGCCGGUGGAAACCGUAAAGCUAGAGUCCGGAAGAGGAGAGUGGAAUUCCUGGUGUAGCGGUGAAAUGCGCAGAUAUCAGGAAGAACACCCGUGGCGAAGGCGGCUCUCUGGGACGGUACUGACGCUGAGACGCGAAAGCGUGGGGAGCGAACAGG